rnacentral:rRNA from 1 species
CCAAUUGGGAACUUGCUCCUGGAUUCAGCGGCGGACGGGUGAGUAAUGCCUAGGAAUCUGCCUGGUAGUGGGGGAUAACGUCCGGAAACGGGCGCUAAUACCGCAUACGUCCUGAGGGAGAAAGUGGGGGAUCUUCGGACCUCACGCUAUCAGAUGAGCCUAGGUCGGAUUAGCUAGUUGGUGGGGUAAAGGCCUACCAAGGCGACGAUCCGUAACUGGUCUGAGAGGAUGAUCAGUCACACUGGAACUGAGACACGGUCCAGACUCCUACGGGAGGCAGCAGUGGGGAAUAUUGGACAAUGGGCGAAAGCCUGAUCCAGCCAUGCCGCGUGUGUGAAGAAGGUCUUCGGAUUGUAAAGCACUUUAAGUUGGGAGGAAGGGCAGUAAGUUAAUACCUUGCUGU